AGGAGGCAGCAGUGGGGAAUCUUGCGCAAUGGACGAAAGUCUGACGCAGCGACGCCGCGUGGGCGACGAAGGCCUUCGGGUUGUAAAGCCCUGUGGGGCGGGACGAACACACAAUGGUCGAACAGGCCAGGGUGCUGACGGUACCGCCUUAGCAAGCACCGGCUAACUCUGUGCCAGCAGCCGCGGUAAGACAGAGGGUGCAAACGUUGCUCGGAAUUACUGGGCGUAAAGCGCGUGUAGGCGGUUUCGCAAGUCAGGUGUGAAAGCCCAGGGCUCAACCCUGGAAGUGCACUUGAUACUACGGAGCUGGAGUACUGAAGAGGAGAGCGGAAUUCCCGGUGUAGAGGUGAAAUUCGUAGAUAUCGGGAGGAACACCAGUGGCGAAGGCGGCUCUCUGGGCAGAUACUGACGCUGAGACGCGAAAGCAUGGGGAGCAAACAGGAUUAGAUACCCCGGU
rnacentral:rRNA from 1 species